ACGCGCGAAACCUUACCAAAUCUUGACAUCCUCUGACCCCUCUAGAGAUAGAGUUUUCCCCUUCGGGGGACAGAGUGACAGGUGGUGCAUGGUUGUCGUCAGCUCGUGUCGUGAGAUGUUGGGUUAAGUCCCCGCAACGAGCGCAACCCUUAAGCUUAGUUGCCAUCAUUAAGUUGGGCACUCUAAGUUGACUGCCGGUGACAAACCGGAGGAAGGUGGGGAUGACGUCAAAUCAUCAUGCCCCUUAUGA
rnacentral:rRNA from 1 species